GACGAACGCUGGCGGCGCGCUUAACACAUGCAAGUCGAGCGAAGCUGCGGACGGGUGAGUAACACGUGAGUAACCUGCCUUAGACAUUGGCAUAGCCUCGGGAAACCGCGAUUAAUACCAAAUGGUCGAAGAUGGACUCGGGUCCCAUUAGCUAGUUGGUGAGGUAACGGCCCACCAAGGCGACGAAGGGUAGCCGGCCUGAGAGGGUGAACGGCCACAUUUGAACGGAGAAACGGUCCGAACACUACGGGAGGGAGCAGUGGGGAAUAUUGCACAAGGGAGGGAACUAUGAAGCAGUGACGGCGGGUGAACGAAGAAGGCUUUCGAGUCGUAAAGUUCUUUUAUAUGGGAAGCGGUACCAUAAGAAAAAGCCCCGGCUAACUACGUGCCAGCAGCCGCGGUAAUUC
rnacentral:rRNA from 1 species